CGGAGUUCCUGUGUGGGGGAAGCUUCCAGGUGUCCUAUGUGGGAGCAGUGUAGUGAUUUCUGCUUGGGUGGGUGGCAGAAAGUUUUGCACCCGUGUUGAUGGUCCUGCUUAGGUACCUGGUAGUCCUGUGUGGGCAAAUAGUUGGGAGACCUACUCUGACACUGAGGUCUGGAGCCCUGGAUGGACACGGUGGACGUGAUUCUCACAUGGGAGCAUGAAUAUCACUCACAGAGAAGCAGUAUUCUCACUACUUGAGUCCCAGGUCACAGAGCGACACAGAAUGCUGCCUCCCUCUGGCCCGCCAUCUUGGAUCCUAUUUUUCAUUUUGAUAACAGCAAAAGAAUGAUACUUUUGCAUACUGUGUAAGCACUGCUUAUACUUAAUAAAAAUCCAUUUCUUUUCAUAGUUUUCUUAAAGGAAAGAAAAGACCUUUGUAUCUUAAUUUCUCUCCUUACCCCUCAUUUUACAACCUGUUAUCUCUAAACAAAGAAAUGAUGAAUGAGUUCCCUUCAGAAUACUUCUUGGAAGCUGAUGUCUAUAAAAUAGCAAGGUUCUGGGAGAGAAGUAUAACCAAAUCUAAGGAAGUUUAAUGGCCAAUAUAUAAAAAUAACAAAGCAGUUCUUGGAUUGCAAGUGGCUACCUUAGUAAUGAGUAUUAUUACCCAACAAUAUUCAGUUGGUUUAAAAUGACUAGUCUUUGGGGCGUAUUACCCAAGUGAUUUAAAAGUUGAUAAAUUAUUGCAAGGUUUUUACCUGUUGUUCUGGUUUGAAAGUUUUUGUCCUCUGUAAAAUUUAUGUUUUGGAAGCUUAAUCCCCAGUGAUGUUGGGAAGCCUAAUGGGAGAUGUUUAGGUCCUGAGACUGUCACUAUAAAAAGGAUUUGCAGUAAUAGAUAGGUUCCCUCUCUCGUCUUUUGGCAUGCAAGGAUGCAGCAAGAAGGCCCUCACCAGAACAGUUGCUGACACCUUGAUCUUAGACUUUCUAGAAUCCAAAACUGUGAGAAACAAAUAUCUGUUCUUUGUAAAUUAUCUAGUUUCCAUUAUUUUGUUAUAGCAGCACACAAUUAACUAUGAUACUUAUGAUUUUAUUUUAACAAUAUAGUUUGGUGACAGACAUGGAGAGGCCAAUACUAUUGAAAGAAGUUUUAUUGCUAACAUAUACUAAGAGAAGAGGGCAUAUCAUUCCAUGGGAAAGUAUGUCCUGGAGACUUUGUUGUAGUUUUCCAGUGAAGAAUGGGUGAGGCAAAAGAGGCCAGUUUGAGGAAGUAUAGGAUUGGACAGUUCAAAUAAUUUUAGCUGGCUUUGGGUUGUAAGGGUGGUGUCUGGUCAUUUGACACCUAGCCCUUAUAUGAUUCAGAAAAGGAAAAAUGUUGCCCUGCUGUAUCAGAAUUAAAU
rnacentral:lncRNA from 1 species